GCCGCGUGAAGGAUGAAGGCCUUCGGGUUGUAAACUGCUUUUGUAAGGAACGAAAAGGUCUCGUCGAUUACUGGGGACUCAGGACCGGCNCGUNNGUGACGCCCCGCGCAACUACAUGCCAGCAGCCGCGGUUGUACGUAAGUAGCGAGCGUUAAUCGNAAUUACGGGGCGUGUCGCGUGCGCAGGGGGUUUUGUAAGAUCGAUGUGAAAUCCGCGGGGUCAACCGGGGAACUGCAUUGGGGACUGCGAGGUUGGAGUACGGGAGAGGGGGAUGGAAUUCCNCGAGUANCAGAGAAAUGCCUAUAUAUGCGGAGGAACACCGAUGGCGAACGGAAUCCCCUGAACCUGUACUGGNGCUCAUGCACGAAAGCGUGACCAGGAAACAGGAUUACAUACCCUGGUAGUCCACGCCCUAAACGAUGUCAACUGGUUGUUGGGUCUUUACUGACUCAUUA
rnacentral:rRNA from 1 species